ACAACAGGUGAGGUUGAGAAUGUACCUGCUGAGAACAGGUGAGGUUGAGAAUGUACCUGCGUACGCUGACAACAGGUGAGGUUGAGAAUGUACCUGCGUACGCUGAGAACAGGUGAGGUUGAGAAUGUACCUGCUGAGAACAGGUGAGGUUGAGAAUGUACCUGCUGAGAACAGGUGAGGUUGAGAAUGUACCUGCGUACGCUGAGAACAGGUGAGGUUCAGAAUGUACCUGCUGAGAACAGGUGAGGUUGAGAAUGUACCUGCUGAGAACAGGUGAGGUUGAGAAU